UACAGAGGGGGCAAGCGUUAUUCGGAAUUAUUGGGCGUAAAGGGCGCGUAGGCGGCUUUGCAAGUGACGGGUGAAAUCCCUCGGCUUAACCGAGGAACUGCCUGUCAGACUGCAUGGCUUGAGACCGGGAGAGGUGAGUGGAAUUCCCAGUGUAGCGGUGAAAUGCGUAGAUAUUGGGAGGAAUACCAGUGGCGAAGGCGGCUCACUGGACCGACAUUGACGCUGAUGAGCGAAAGCUAGGGGAGCAAACGGG
rnacentral:rRNA from 1 species